rnacentral:rRNA from 1 species
AUUGAACGCUGGCGGCAUGCCUAACACAUGCAAGUCGAACGGCAGCACGUUGUGUAGCAAUACACAUGGGUGGCGAGUAGCGGACGGGUGAGUAUAAAGUAGGAAUCUGCCUUAUAGAUUGGGACAACUUGGGGAAACUCGAGCUAAUACCGGAUAAGCACUACGGUGGAAAGUAUGGGACCGAAAGGCCAUACGCUAUAAGAUGAGCCUACGUCGGAUUAGUUAGUUGGUUAGGUAAAAGGCUGACCAAGACAAAGAUCCGUAGCUGGUCUGAGAGGAUGAUCAGCCACACUGGGACUGAGACACGGCCCAGACUCCUACGGGAGGCAGCAGUGGGGAAUAUUGGACAAUGGGGGAAAACCCCUGAUCCAGCGAUGCCGCGUGUGCGAAGAAGGCCUGCGGGUUGUAAAAGCACUUUAGUUGGGGAAGAAAGUUCAAGAGUCGAAUAGGUUUUUGAGUUGACGUUACCCAAAGAAUAAGCACCGGCUAACUCUGUGCCAGCAGCCGCGGUAAUACAGAGGGUGCAAGCGUUAAUCGGAAAUUACUGGGCGUAAAGGGCGCGUAGGCGGUUAUAUAAAGUUAGGUGUGAAAAUCCCCCGGGCUUAACCUGGGAACUGGCAAUUUAAUAUCUGUAUGACUAGAGUAGAGUA